GAUGAACGCUAGCUACAGGCUUAACACAUGCAAGUCGAGGGGAAACGAUAUUGGAAGCUUGCUUCCGAUAGGCGUCGACCGGCGCACGGGUGAGUAACGCGUAUCCAACCUGCCCAUCACUUGGGGAUAACCUUGCGAAAGUAAGACUAAUACCCAAUGAUAUCUCUAGAAGACAUCUGAAAGGGAUUAAAGAGUUAUCGGUGAUGGAUGGGGAUGCGUCUGAUUAGCUUGUUGGCGGGGUAACGGCCCACCAAGGCGACGAUCAGUAGGGGGUCUGAGAGGAAGGUCCCCCACAUUGGAACUGAGACACGGUCCAAACUCCUACGGGAGGCAGCAGUGAGGAAUAUUGGUCAAUGGGCGAGAGCCUGAACCAGCCAAGUAGCGUGCAGGAUGACGGCCCUAUGGGUUGUAAACUGCUUUUAUAAGGGAAUAAAGUGGGAGUCGUGACUCCUUUUGCAUGUACCUUAUGAAUAAGGACCGGCUAAUUCCGUGCCAGCCGCCGCCGUAA
rnacentral:rRNA from 1 species